rnacentral:rRNA from 1 species
AGUGAACGCUGGCGGUAGGCCUAACACAUGCAAGUCGAACGGCAGCACAGUAAGAGCUUGCUCUUACGGGUGGCGAGUGGCGGACGGGUGAGGAAUACAUCGGAAUCUACUUUUUCGGGGGGGAUAACGUAGGGAAACUUACGCUAAUACCGCAUACGCCCUACGGGUGAAAGCAGGGGAUCUUCGGACCUUGUGCGAUUGAAUGAGCCGAUGUCGGGUUAGCUAGUUGGCGGGGUAAAGGCCCACCAAGGCGACGGUCGGUAGCUGGUCUGAGGGCAUGUACACCGACACGGGAGGUGAGAGACGGUCCUGACACCUACGGGAGGCAGCGGUGGGUACGAUAGGACACAGGGCGCAAGCCUGCUCCAGCCAUACCGCGUGGGUGAAGAAGGCCUUCGGGUUGUAAAGCCCUUUUGUUGGGAAAGAAAAGCAGCAGGUUAGAACCCCGCUGUGCGGACGUAACCGAAAGAGUAGGAACCGGUAAACUUCGU